rnacentral:rRNA from 1 species
GACGAACGCUGGCGGCGUGCUUAACACAUGCAAGUCGAACGGUGAAGCGCCUUCCUUUUUGGUGGGUGUGGAUGAGUGGCGAACGGGUGAGUAACACGUGAGUAACCUGCCCCCUUCUUCUGGAUAACCGCAUGAAAGUGUGGCUAAUACGGGAUAUUCUGGGUCUGUCGCAUGAUGGGUCUGGGCAAGAUAUUGUUUCGGUGGGGGAUGGGCUCGCGGCCUAUCAGCUUGUUGGUGGGGUGAUGGCCUGCCAAGGCGGUGACGGGUAGCCGGCCUGAGAAGGUGGCCGGUCACACUGGGACUGAGACACGGCCCAGACUCCUACGGGAGGCAGCAGUGGGGAAUAUUGCACAAUGGGCGCAAGCCUGAUGCAGCGACGCCGCGUGAGGGAUGGAGGCCUUCGGGUUGUGAACCUCUUUCGCCAGUGAAGCAGGCCUGCCUCGUUUGUGGGUGGGUUGACGGUAGCUGGAUAAGAAGCGCCGGCUAACUACGUG